UCGGGAAUUUUGGGCAAUGGGCGAAAGCCUGACCCAGCAACGCCGCGUGAAGGAUGAAGUAUUUCGGUAUGUAAACUUCGAAAGAAUGGGAAGAAUAAAUGACGGUACCAUUUAUAAGCUCCGGCUAACUACGUGCCAGCAGCCGCGGUAAUACGUAGGGAGCAAGCGUUGUUCGGAUUUACUGGGCGUAAAGGGCGCGUAGGCGGCGCGGUAAGUCACUUGUGAAAUCUCUGAGCUUAACUCAGAACGGCCAAGUGAUACUGCAGUGCUAGAGUGUAGAAGGGGCAAUCGGAAUUCUUGGUGUAGCGGUGAAAUGCGUAGAUAUCAAGAGGAACACCUGAGGUGAAGACGGGUUGCUGGUCUAACACUGACGCUGAGGCGCGAAAGCCAGGGGAGCAAACGGG
rnacentral:rRNA from 1 species